rnacentral:tRNA from 1 species
GCAGGCCUGACCGAGUGAUCAGGUACCAGCCUUCCAAGCUGAGGAUAGGGGUUUGAUUCCCCUGGCCUGCU